rnacentral:rRNA from 1 species
UACGUAGGGUCCGAGCGUUAAUCGGAAUUACUGGGCGUAAAGCGUGCGCAGGCGGUUUUGUAAGCCAGAUGUGAAAGCCCCGGGCUUAACCUGGGAAUGGCAUUUGGGACUGCAAGGCUGGAGUACGGCAGAGGGAGGUGGAAUUCUUGGUGUAGCGGUGAAAUGCGUAGAUAUCAAGAGGAACACCUGCGGCGAAGGCGGGUUGCUGGGCCGACACUGACGCUGAGGCGCGAAAGCCAGGGGAGCGAACGGG